UCCCGCGGCGUCGGAUGUGCCCGGGAAUCCCGAAAUGCCUGUUGCAUGCUCGGAUUCACACGGAGACGGAUUUCCUUACGAGCCUCGGCGGUUGAUUAGACUGAGCCCUCGGGUGCCCUCUGCAGACACAAACUUUGCAAACAUUGCUAACCAGCCGCCAACUUCCAGAGCAUGCACGGAGUGAUUUAGAAGUUCUGACUCGUGUCGUAGCAGCAGGGCAGGGACCUGCGCUUCAACCGCAUCAGACAUGUUGAGCCCGGAGCCUUCCGGAAUGUGAAGAACCUCCACACACUGCUUCUGAACAACAACCUAAUAAAGCAGAUUUCACGAAGGUCCUUUGAAGAGCUUGAGAAUCUUAAAUACCUGUGCGUA